CAUGCAGGCGGUUUCGUAAGUUUGAGGUAACAGCUCCCGGCUCAACUGGGAGAGGGUCUUGAAAACUGCGAGACUUGAGGGCUCAAGAGGGACAUGGGAUUCCGGGUGUAGUGGUGAAAUGCGUAGAUAUCCGGAGGAACACCAAUGGCGAAGGCAGUGUCCUGGUGAGUACCUGACGCUCAGAUGCGAAAGCUAGGGGAGCGAACGGGAUUAGAUACCCCGGUAGUCCUAGCCGUAAACGAUGACCACUAGAUGUACGGAGUAUCGACCCUCUGUGUGUCGCAGCAAACGCACUAAGUGGUCCGCCUGGGGAGUACGGUCGCAAGAUUAAA
rnacentral:rRNA from 1 species